rnacentral:rRNA from 1 species
GAUGAACGCUGGCGGCGUGCCUAAUACAUGCAAGUCGAGCGAACAGACGAGGCGCUUGCUCCUCUGACGUUAGCGGCGGGCGGGUGAGUAACACGUGUAUAACCUACCUAUCAUACUGGUAUAACUUCGGGAAACCGGAGCUAAUACCGGAGAAUAUAUUGCACCACAUGGUUGAUUAGUAAAUGUCGGUUUUGGUGGCUCUUAUAGAUGGAUCCGCGCCGCAUUAGCUAGUUGGUAAGGUAACGGCUUACCAAGGCAACCAGGCGUAGCCGACCUGAGAGGGUGGUCGGCCACACUGGAACUGGACCACGGUCCAGACUCCUACGGGAGGCAGCAGUAGGGAAUCUUCCGCAGUGGGCGAAAGCCUGACGGAACAACGCCGAGUGAGUUAUGAAGGUCUUCGGAUCGUAAAACUCUGUUAUUAGGGAAGAACCAAUGUGUAAGUAAAUAUGCACGUCUUGACGGUACCUAAUCAGAAAGCCACGGCUAACUACGUG